rnacentral:misc_RNA from 1 species
AAGAGUAUAGAGGCUUCAUGCCUACUAACUCCACCCUUUGUUUACAUACCUUUGUUGCUUUGGCAGGCCCGUCGAAAGACAACCGGCUCCGGCUGGUCAGUGCCUGCCUGCCAGAGGACCUAAAACUCUUGUUUAAUCAUAUUGUCUGAGUACUAUAUAAUAGUUA